rnacentral:SRP_RNA from 1 species
GCCGAGCCAGGUGACGUGGGCUUGUAACCCUAGUGGGGGCAUUAAAGUGGUAGGACGUUAUUCCUUCUCAAAUGACUAGUCUCAGGUUAGCUAAAUUUCUGGCUCGCCCGUUCCAAGCCUGGAGUUGAAUCAAGCUAUUCGAGCGAAAGCUUGAGUUGCUUGGCUCCUAGAGUGGAGGAUAACGCGUGAGGCUGGCUUCACAGAGCAGCGACUACCUCCCUCUUUCGGCAGUGGAAGGAUAACGAGUCGGUGUCACCCGGGUCCACAUUGUCAGAUGGGCUGUUCUCUAACUGGACCACCACUUUU